UACUGCCCUGAAUGCUCCUUCUG
rnacentral:miRNA from 1 species